GUGUUCGCUUCGGCAGCACAUAUACUAAAAUUGGAACGAUACAGAGAUUAGCAGUGCCCUUGUGCAAGGAUGACAUGCAAAUUCGUGAAGUGUUCCACAUUUAA